UUACGGCCACAUCACAUUGAAACACCUAUUCCUGUACGAUCACGUUAAGCAACAUCGAACCUGAUGAGUACUUAGAUGAGUGACCGCUUGAGAAUAACAGGUGCUGCAA